GAUGAACGCUGGCGGCGUGCCUAAUACAUGCAUGUCGAGCAAACAGACGAGGAGCUUGCUCCUCUGACGUUAGCGGCGGACGGGUGAGUAACACGUGGAUAACCUACCUAUAAGACUGGGAUAACUUCGGGAAACCGGAGCUAAUACCGGAUAAUAUAUUGAACCGCAUGGUUCAAUAGUGAAAGACGGUUUUGCUGUCACUUAUAGAUGGAUCCGCGCCGCAUUAGCUAGUUGGUAAGGUAACGGCUUACCAAGGCGACGAUGCGUAGCCGACCUGAGAGGGUGAUCGGCCACACUGGAACUGAGACACGGUCCAGACUCCUACGGGAGGCAGCAGUAGGGAAUCUUCCGCAAUGGGCGAAAGCUUGACGGAGCAACGCCGCGUGAGUGAUGAAGGUCUUCGGAUCGUAAAACUCUGUUAUUAGGGAAGAACAAAUGUGUAAGUAACUAUGCACGUCUUGACGGUACCUAAUCAGAAAGCCACGGCUAACUACGUG
rnacentral:rRNA from 1 species